rnacentral:rRNA from 1 species
GAGGAAUAUUGCACAAUGGGCGCAAGCCUGAUGCAGCAACGCCGCGUGCGGGACGAAGGCCUUCGGGUCGUAAACCGCUUUUCUGGGGGAAGAGCAAGGACGGUACCUCAGGAAUAAGUCUCGGCUAACUACGUGCCAGCAGCCGCGGUAAAACGUAGGAGGCGAGCGUUAUCCGGAUUUACUGGGCGUAAAGCGUGCGCAGGCGGUUUUGUAAGACAGAGGUGAAAUCCCCGGGCUCAACCUGGGAACUGCCUUUGUGACUGCAAGGCUGGAGUACGGCAGAGGGGGGUGGAAUUCCACGUGUAGCAGUGAAAUGCGUAGAGAUGUGGAGGAACACCGAUGGCGAAGGCAGCCCCCUGGGCCUGUACUGACGCUCAUGCACGAAAGCGUGGGGAGCAAACA